GCCACGUGAUGAUACAAAGGCGAGUGUGACUCUCUGGCGACAAGGACCAGGCUGGCCCCCCGAGCUCGGGCGGUCCGUAAUCUUGGUGGGCGUGUCCGAGACCCGCACGCUCGCUGUAAGGCCGGACCAACAGCAGGACCCCGCGCCCGGCGACUGCGACGAGGGGCUGUGGGGAGAGUCACCCCGGCAACGAUCGGGAGCAGGGCGCGGACACGGGGGCGGGGAAUGGGGGGGGUGUCGAGAUCGGGCUGGUCUGACCUGGGACUUGCCGGAGAGGUUGAUCGCACAUCUUUGGUAAUCUGAUGGCC